rnacentral:rRNA from 1 species
UGGGGGAUAUUGCACAAUGGGCGAAAGCCUGAUGCAGCGACGCCGCGUGGGGGAUGAAGGCUUUCGGGUUGUAAACCUCUUUCGCUAUCGAACAAGGCCCGCUUAGGGUGGGUUGAGGGUAGGUGGAGAAGAAGCGCCGGCUAACUACGUGCCAGCAGCCGCGGUAAUACGUAGGGCGCGAGCGUUGUCCGGAAUUAUUGGGCGUAAAGGGCUUGUAGGCGGCUUGUUGCGCCUGCUGUGAAAACGCGGGGCUUAACUUCGCGCGUGCAGUGGGUACGCGCAGGCUUGAGUGUGGUAGGGGUGACUGGAAUUCCAGGUGUAGCGGUGGAAUGCGCAGAUAUCUGGAGGAACACCGAUGGCGAAGGCAGGUCACUGGGCCAUUACUGACGCUGAGGAGCGAAAGCAUGGGUAGCGAACAGG